UUGAGUUGAACUUUUGGCUCGGCUCUUGUUGUGCUGGUCCUUUGGGGCAAUGUGAACACAAGUCCCUGGUCAUUUUGUUUAUUCUUUUUCCACCUGUGCACUGCCUUGUAGGCCCUUAGGUCUAUGACAAUGUUUAUACACAAACACAUGUAUGAAUAUGGUUGUAAUCUUUUUUAAAUAAUAAGUAAUA
rnacentral:misc_RNA from 1 species